rnacentral:tRNA from 1 species
GCCAGCAUGGCAUAGUGGUUUGAGUGUUUGACUACAACUCUGGAGACCAGGGUUUGAUUCCCCGCUUGACC